GCGAGUCGAGCGCUGUAGCAAUACAGAGCGGCAGACGGGUGAGUAACGCGUGGGGAUGUACCCAGAGGUACGGAACAACUUCGGGAAACUGGAGCUAAUACCGUAUGUGACCGAGAGGUGAAAGAUUUAUCGCCUUUGGAUCAACCCGCGUCAGAUUAGCUAGUUGGUGGGGUAAUGGCCCACCAAGGCGACGAUCUGUAGCUGGUCUGAGAGGAUGAUCAGCCACAUUGGGACUGAGACACGGCCCAAACUCCUACGGGAGGCAGCAGUGGGGAAUAUUGGACAAUGGGCGCAAGCCUGAUCCAGCCAUGCCGCGUGAGUGAUGACGGCCUUAGGGUUGUAAAGCUCUUUCGCACGCGACGAUAAUGACGGUAGCGUGAGAAGAAGCCCCGGCUAACUUCGUGCCAGCAGCCGCGGUAAUACGAAGGGGGCUAGCGUUGUUCGGAAUCACUGGGCGUAAAGCGCACGUAGGCGGAUUGUUAAGUCGGGGGUGAAAUCCUGAGGCUCAACCUCAGAACUGCCUUCGAUACUGGCGAUCUUGAGUCCGGAAGAGGAUGGUGGAACAGCGAGUGUAGAGGUGAAAUUCGUAGAUAUUCGCUAGAACACCGGUGGCGAAGGCGGCCAUCUGGUCCGGUACUGACGCUGAGGUGCGAAAGCGUGGGGAGCAAACAGGAUUAGAUACCCUGGUAGUCCACGCCGUAAACGAUGGAUGCUAGCCGUUGGGGAGCUUGCUCUUCGGUGGCGCAGUUAACACAUUAAGCAUCCCGCCUGGGGAGUACGUCGCAGA
rnacentral:rRNA from 1 species